AGCAGUCGCCGCGGUAAUACGUAGGCAGCGAGCGUCGUUCGGAAUUACUGGGCGUAAAGAGUGUGUAGGCGGUGCUAUAAGUUCGGUGUGAAAUCUCCUGGCUCAACCUGGGAACUGCAUCCAAAGCUGGCAGGCCAGAGUAGGGCAGAGGGUGGUGGAAUUUCCUGUGUAGCGGUGAAAUGCGUAGAUAUAGGAAGGAACACCAGUGGCGAAGGCGACCACCUGGGCUCAUACUGACACUGAGGUGCGAAAGCGUGGGGAGCAAACAGGAUUAGAUACCCCAGUAGUCCCUGUCUCUUAUAC
rnacentral:rRNA from 1 species